CUCCAGCUCGCGGGGCGCGCGCCCACCGCCGGCCGGACCGGGAACUCCAGGCGGCGCGGAGAGGCGGUGGGCAGGGGCCCCGAGGAGCCGGCUGGCGGUCUGCAGAGCGGGGACAGUCUCGGGAGGGGGUGCUGGUCUGUUCAGUGCACCUAUUACCGGCCGCGGAACUUGGGCACCAGCUCGGAGACACGCAGAGGGACCGCAGGACACCUAGUAUGAGGCCAAUACUCGGUGAGCCCGCGGGGCUGGACUCCACUCGGUGGCCCUCUUAGGAUCCCGCCCUCUUGAAGGGAAAUGGCUUCGGACUGGAGGUCAGAUGGAUUUUUCCUCUUGAAGCUGUGACCCUUUCUCCUUGAAGGCCAGGACUUGACCUCCACUUGGGUGCAGAUAACACGUCGUUUUGUUCUCCAGAUGUACAAGCAUUGACACUGACCACCCCAACCAUGUUUGAUGGAGAUGGAUGACCACGCUGGCACACUGGUGUUUGAACAAAUUAGGAAGUCCCUUAUGCCAAAAUUAGGAAGUCCCUAUGCCAAAGCAAAAGCCCCCUCAGGUGUACUACACUACCUGGAUUUUCAGGCUGGGUUUAACAAAGAUGCAGCUCAUUAAAGGGAUAAGGAUUUUCAAGUCUUUCCCCGGCCCCCUCCAGAAAGUUGACCAGCGCAUACUUCCAUAAUACAAGAGAAAUGGGUCUUUGGAAAUCUGAGCAUGCCACCCUCGAUCUAGGUUUACCUCGGUGUUCCAUGACAAAUGAGUGAACCAGUAAUCUUUCAGUUAGUGGAAUGUUGGCUUUGUUCAAUUUCCUCUCAGUCUUCAGCUAGUCUAGUCAGCGGUCAUGAUAAUCACUCUCAUUUGGUCAGUGCUCAUAUGUAAGGUAAUAAAAACUACCAUGAUUAAGAACAUGUACUA
rnacentral:lncRNA from 1 species